rnacentral:rRNA from 1 species
AUUGAACGCUGGCGGCAUGCUUUACACAUGCAAGUCGAACGGUAACAGGUUAAGCUGACGAGUGGCGAACGGGUGAGUAAUGCAUCGGAACGUGCCCGGUCGUGGGGGAUAACGCAGCGAAAGCUGCGCUAAUACCGCAUACGAUCUGAGGAUGAAGGCGGGGGACCGUAAGGCCUCGCGCGAUCGGAGCGGCCGAUGUCAGAUUAGGUAGUUGGUGGGGUAAAGGCCCACCAAGCCGACGAUCUGUAGCUGGUCUGAGAGGAGGACCAGCCACACUGGGACUGGGACACGGCCCAGACUCCUACGGGAGACAGCAGGGGGGAAUCUUGCGCAAUGGACGAAAGUCUGACGCAGCCACGCCGCGUGAGUGAAGAAGGCCUUCGGGUUGUAAAGCUCUGUCACCUGGGACGAAAAGCUAGUGGGUUAAUAGCCCAUUGGCCUGACGGUACCAGGGGAGGAAGCACCGGCUAACUCUGUGCCAGCCGCCGCAGUAAAAC